rnacentral:lncRNA from 1 species
UUUUCCACGUGUCUAGGCCGUUAAACCGAACUCAACCGAACUUAAGUAAUCACGUGACUUGGCACGAGCAACUUCGUUAAUUCCGUUAUGAGUAAAACGCAAUCCUAAGCGUCGUUUCACUAAUAGUGGUCAUGAGCUCCCUCACGUGGCUCCAUAACGAAAUAGAUUCAUUGCUCAAUACGCUGCCAUUUUGCUCUGGUUUGUGUUUGAAU